rnacentral:rRNA from 1 species
CCUACGGGAGGCUGCAGUGGGGAAUAUUGGACAAUGGGGGCAACCCUGAUCCAGCCAUGCCGCGUGUGUGAAGAAGGCCCUCGGGUUGUAAAGCACUUUCAGUGAGGAAGAACGCCUGGUGGUUAAUACCCAUCAGGAAAGACAUCACUCACAGAAGAAGCACCGGCUAACUCCGUGCCAGCAGCCGCGGUAAUACGGAGGGUGCGAGCGUUAAUCGGAAUUACUGGGCGUAAAGCGCGCGUAGGUGGCUUGAUAAGCCGGUUGUGAAAGCCCCGGGCUCAACCUGGGAACGGCAUCCGGAACUGUCAAGCUAGAGUGCAGGAGAGGAAGGUAGAAUUCCCUGUGUAGCGGUGAAAUGCGUAGAGAUCGGGAGGAAUACCAGUGGCGAAGGCGGCCUUCUGGACUGACACUGACACUGAGGUGCGAAAGCGUGGGUAGCAAACAGGAUUAGAUACCCCAGUAGUC